GCAGGUCAUUAACCCAGACGAGGCCGUGUUGGUGGUAGGAGAGGAGGCCGUGCCGGUGGGAGAGGAGGUCGAGAUGGUGGACGAUUAGUUGAUGAGCCGGUUGAUGAUGUUGAUCAUGCUGAUGAGCAUGAGGACACUGCGGUUUAGGAGGGGAACUCAUGUAGAUACAAGCGAGGAUUGUGUAGUACUGCUAUUGCCGAGCAAUCUACUGCCACUAUAGCCGAGCCAUCUAUUGCUGCUGCUGCCGGGUCUUCUAUUGCUGCUAGCGACGAGGCUGAGUUCAUUAGACGUGAGGAUUGGCCUUCCUGCUCUCUAGGCCUCACUCCUACUCCAUAGCCAGUUGCUGAGCAACAGACUUUUCAUAUUCCGGAUACCAAUAUACAACAGCCUCCUCCUAUUAUACAGCAUCAUCACCGGACUCGACUUCAGCAUGAUAUAUCAGAGAUCUCCUCUUUUGACUUGGGCUUCUCUUUACAGUCUUCUCAACCUGAUACACAGACUAGUUCAGAUAGAGCUGAUAUGUCUGGUAGAUAUGAAAUAUAUGUGCGCCGGUUAAAAAGGCAGCGACAGGCUCCCGAUUGUGGUAUUGGUGGACAUAAAUGAGGG
rnacentral:lncRNA from 1 species